rnacentral:lncRNA from 1 species
UCGUAAGCAAGUGAACAAACCAAAGGUGGAGCUUGGAAAGUUUACAGGUAGAGCUAAUUUUCUUUUUAUGUUCGAGGAAAGCUUAUAUUACCAAAAAUGGUCGGGCUAGUUAUGAAUUGGACAAAUUACGCUUAUGAAACUACAUGAUGUUCUUUUGUAAAUUCCAAAAUUUUCCCUAGGUUACAGCCACGUCAAUCUUAAGAAAUAGAUACUGUCUUGAUCAAUUGAUUUAAUUAUUAAUGUGUCAUAUAAUGAAAUAGAAUCUUCUCCGGCUUCCAUCUAAAUUCUUUAAUUGUGUUUGUUCAACUGAAAAUCGAACGGCCAGGAAUUAGUUCCCUGCUCACCUUCACCUAUUCAUCGUCUUCCAUCUUCACCUUCUCUUGCUCAUCUUCUUCCAUGUUAACUUUCUUUUGUUCUCUUCUUUCUUCUCAUCCAUCUCUUACUCUAUUCAGCUCCCUAAUUGAAGGAUAUGAAGCAUCCAUAUGGAAGGGAUUUGGAGAGAAUCAUAGUCCUCAUAUAAUAUGUCACAUUCCCGUCCGGGCUCCCAUCACAUUCCGGGCUCGAUUCCGCCGUAGCACGGUAUUGUUCGCUUUGGACCCCA